AGCUUUAUAGUCAAAAAUGAUAUAAAAUUGCAAAUUUUAAGGAAUAAAUUAUUUAUUGAAGCUU
rnacentral:tRNA from 1 species